AUGUUCUCGUUUCGUUCUCGCCACGAGUGCCCGGAUAACGGCUCUGGAUUUUGGCUCAACGGCUCUUGAAGGUCGCCGGCAACGGGAGCUAAAAGAAUUUCAUGCUUAAUAAAGCAAAAUUACAAGAUCGCAUG
rnacentral:lncRNA from 1 species